rnacentral:lncRNA from 1 species
GGAGUUUGCAAAUGAGUACAUUAACAGGCUGUGCUGUUGUCUGUCCUGCCUUUAUCAUCACAUCACCUGAGGUGCAGUGGGGCUCAGCACCAAGUUAAGGAAAUCUACAGCAACACCUCAUAAGUGCUGCUCAGCUGCCUUAGGAGUCAGGCUUCCUUUGCCUCUGAUGUUCACCUUAAAUGUGGUGACACAGCUGUUCUUUUCCCAUCACCUGCCAAACCAGUUUGUUUGCAUCUCUGCAAUUUCCCAGGCACAGCUCAGGCUCUUGUCAGGCUCAUUCAAAACAGGAAACCAAUGGCCUCGGACUGUUUUAUGUUCUUCUGGAUUACACACAGGUCCU